GUGUCAGCAGCCGCGGUAAUACGUAGGUGGCAAGCGUUGUCCGGAUUUACUGGGCGUAAAGGGCGUGCAGGCGGUCUGUUAAGUCUAGGGUGAAAGCUCCCGGCUCAACUGGGAGAGGUCCUUGGAUACUGGCGGACUUGAGGGAGGUAGAGGAGAGUGGAAUUCCCGGUGUAGUGGUGAUAUGCGUAGAUAUCGGGAGGAACACCAGUGGCGAAGGCGGCUCUCUGGGCCUUUCCUGACGCUGAGACGCGAAAGCGUGGGGAGCGAACCGGAUUAGAUACCCCCGUAGUCC
rnacentral:rRNA from 1 species